UAAUGUACCUUUGGGUGGGGAACAACAGUCGGAAACGACUGCUAAUACCGCAUAAUGCAGCGGCACCGCAUGGUGACAGUUGUUAAAGCGGGGGAUCGCAAGACCUCGCGCCUAGAGAGGAGCCUGUGGCGGAUUAGCUAGUUGGCAGGGUAACGGCCUACCAAGGCAACGAUCCGUAGCCGGCCUGAGAGGGCGGUCGGCCACACUGACACUGAAAUACGGGUCAG
rnacentral:rRNA from 1 species